GAAAGGGUCCCUCUUAUUUGUAUCCAUUGGGGCUCCUGCAGCGAAAUAGAAACGCUCAUCUUACGCGUUACGUUUUCCCGUUAACCGUAUUUAAUGGGCUUUUAUCCGGAUAUCCCACAGUGUUACUAGCCGCUGGGUUUUAUUUCACACGUGUUAGCAGCAGGAUGUCAUACCCUCCUCCCAUGAACCGCCAGCAGAUCGGCAUCCCGCAGUUACCCCCCCGGAUCCCCCCUCCUCAGUAUGCGGGGUUUGCACAGACUGUCCCCCCAGGUACUCCCAUGAUCCCGGUUCAUAUGGGCCUUUUGACCCCCACACCCUCAGUUCUAUCCCGGACCUCAGUGUCUAUUAAACCCAUAAGCCGAUGCUCAUAAAGAGGAC